UUUUUUUUUUGUGUGCAGGGUUUGGCGGGUGUGGUCUUGGUUCUCGGCAAGGAAAGAAAGGACCUGGAGCUUGUCAUGCUGAGGUAAGUCGACGUUGGGGUUCUCCCCUUUUCCCGCACGCCGCUUGCCGUUCGGCAAGUGUGGUCUGAGAUACAAUUUUGGCCUUGAUGGGUUUGAUUUUUGUUAGGUUCUGGGAGGGAGAAUUGGAGCUGGAGCUGGGCCUCAGGCUAGGAGAACUUAGGGCCGCUGUUUUGGUGAGCCUUUAGUUUGUCAAUGCUUGGGUUGUGGUAAGGUGAAGAAUUUCUGAGAGGACCGUGAGGGUCUAGAUCCUUAGUGGUUAGGCAAGGAGUGCAUCAGAGGGUUCUUGAGGCAGUUCUCCGUUUGCAGCAAGUAUGUUCGUGCCCCAAGGAAAAUUUCGCGGCAAGGCCAGCUUGUGUAUUUGGAAAUAUAGGAGUUUACAUGAGUGCUUUACAAAGAAAUAGAUACAGUAAUCAAUUACAAUAGUAUCUUCUAAUUAUACAAUGAUUUGUCAACUAUAUAGAAUAGGAAAGUAAAUCCCUUAAUUAAUCAAGGAAAUAAAUCUUCUUGAUUAAUUAGGAGACUCAAGUCAACACUCCCC
rnacentral:lncRNA from 1 species